GACGAACGCUGGCGGCGUGCUUAACACAUGCAAGUCGAACGGUAAGGCCCUUCGGGGUACACGAGUGGCGAACGGGUGAGUAACACGUGGGUGAUCUGCCCUGCACUUUGGGAUAAGCCUGGGAAACUGGGUCUAAUACCGGAUAGGACCAUUGCCUGCAUGGGUGGUGGUGGAAAGCUUUUGCGGUGUGGGAUGGGCCCGCGGCCUAUCAGCUUGUUGGUGGGGUGAUGGCCUACCAAGGCGACGACGGGUAGCCGGCCUGAGAGGGUGACCGGCCACACUGGGACUGAGAUACGGCGCAGACUCCUACGGGAGGCAGCAGUAGGGAAUAUUGCACAAUGGGCGCAAGCCUGAUGCAGCGACGCCGCGUGAGGGAUGACGGCCUUCGGGUUGUAAACCUCUUUCAGCAUCGACGAAGCGCAAGUGACGGUAGGUGCAGAAGAAGGACCGGCCAACUACGUGCCAGCAGCCGCCGUAA
rnacentral:rRNA from 1 species